UACGUAGGGUCCGAGCGUUGUCCGGAAUUAUUGGGCGUAAAGGGCUCGUAGGCGGUUUGUCACGUCGGGAGUGAAAACUCAGGGCUCAACCCUGAGCGUGCUUCCGAUACGGGCAGACUAGAGGUAUGCAGGGGAGAACGGAAUUCCUGGUGUAGCGGUGGAAUGCGCAGAUAUCAGGAGGAACACCAAUGGCGAAGGCAGCUCUCUGGGACGGUACUGACGCUGAGACGCGAAAGCGUGGUGAGCGAACAGG
rnacentral:rRNA from 1 species